rnacentral:lncRNA from 13 species
GAUAUGUAUGUAGAUGUACCUUUUUUUUAACAUCAUUUGUUAUCAAUUCCAGGUUGAGUUGUGAAUAGAAGACAGUAAUCUCCAUAAUGCAGUCCUCGAAGUGUCGGGAAAUAGAAGAAACUGUAUGGUUUGCAGAGAGGAUGGACAAUCACUUGCUGAGUUUGAGAAAAGGAUCUAGGUGAGCCUAGGUAACCUGUCCAUAGGACCUGCACAUCUCCUUCUUCUAUUGAUAAGCUUAUAGAGGCAGUCUCUGGUCAAAUCGAGGUUGGGUGCUGGGGGCACAGUGAUGCAGUGCUGUCUAUGAUGGGCAGGAUUGCGGGGUCUGGUUUCCUUAAGAAAGGACAUGAUCUCAAGAGGCACUGUACCACUGCAGAUGGAUCUAUCCAACGGUGCUGAGAAAAAAAGAUAUUUUUAUACUCAUCCUUCCUAAGACAUAUGAAUAGAAGACUGGGCUCAGAAAAAUGUGCUCUUAAGUGCUGAGAUAAUUUUUGAAAAUGCCAG